rnacentral:rRNA from 1 species
ACGGGAGGCAGCAGUGGGGAAUAUUGCACAAUGGGCGCAAGCCUGAUGCAGCCAUGCCGCGUGUGUGAAGAAGGCCUUCGGGUUGUAAAGCACUUUCAGCGAGGAGGAAGGUGGUGAGCUUAAUACGCUCAUCAAUUGACGUUACUCGCAGAAGAAGCACCGGCUAACUCCGUGCCAGCAGCCGCGGUAAUACGGAGGGUGCAAGCGUUAAUCGGAAUUACUGGGCGUAAAGCGCACGCAGGCGGU